AACCAUUCUCACCUGCGGCUAGACCUGCGGAGGGAUCAUUAUUGAAUAAAUCUGACAUGGUUGUAGCUGGCUCUUCGGAGCAUGUGCACACCUGUCACCUUUAUCUUUCCACCUGUGAACCCUUUGUAGUCCCAGGAUAACCUCUCGCGCACUCUGGUGUUGCGGAUGCGAAGGUUAUUGUGCCUCUGGCCAGCUCCCAUCGAAUUUCCUGGGUCUAUGUUUCUUAUACACCCCUGUAUG
rnacentral:misc_RNA from 1 species